rnacentral:rRNA from 1 species
UACAGAGGUGGCAAGCGUUGUUCGGAAUUACUGGGCGUAAAGCGCACGUAGGCGGCUUUGUAAGUUAGAGGUGAAAGCCCGGGGCUCAACUCCGGAACUGCCUUUAAGACUGCAUCGCUUGAAUCCGGGAGAGGUGAGUGGAAUUCCGAGUGUAGAGGUGAAAUUCGUAGAUAUCGGGAGGAACACCGGCGGCGAAGGCGGCGAUCUGGGUCGAGACUGACGCUGAGGCGCGAAAGCGUGGGGAGCAAACAGG